AUAGCUAAAAAGGAAUGCUAAUUAAGAUCCCAUGUCUUAACCUGAAAAUAAUGACUCGGCUGUAAUUAGAAAUCUGCUGAGAGUUUAAAAUUCUGGUAGGGAACCAAAAGCAUCAGUUACGGUGCUUAGGAAGAAAAUGAAGAAGUAUGUUUCUGUAAUCAAGAUGGAUCUGAGAACGCUGUCUGGGCUUCGUGCCAAGGGCUGGUAUUCACACAGCAACGACGGCCUCACAGACGAGCUGUGGGAAGCAGGAGGGAGAGUCUCUCUUAGGGUGCCACUACUAUGGAGACACAGCUGGGCUGAACAAGAUUUGCUUCAAACGACAGCAAGAGAGACAGAAAGUAUCUGAUUCAACCGCUGCCCAAGCAGGCAGACACCAGAGGAGCUAGCAGCCAAUCCGGCCAUGCUUGAAGUCAGUCCUGCCGCUCAGCCAAUCAGUGACAUCACUGCUGCUGUUUGGCCCAAGUGCACAUGUCAGACUCACAGUCAGUGCUCCCGGGGCUCCAGGCAUCUGUAAGCAUCCUGUCUCCCCUGUGAGAUUCAGAGGCUCAUUAGAAGUCCAGUGAAGAUCUUUGAGAAUGUUACUGGGAUAAUUGUCCAAAUCAAAUUCUAUGCAUCCAGCCAUGGUACUGAUUAUUAAGGUGACAUUAUGGCAGCGUAACUCCAAAACAAUGCACACCAGAGUAUGGGUGAGCGUCUCACUGGGCAGAAUACACUACGGAGAGAUUCUUCAAAGCCCGUUGGGACAAAUAACAGAUGAAUUCAUGAACCUGUUCUUCUCUGUAACAGUCAGUUAACAGUUACCCUUAAUAGUCACUCAGAAAGAAUUUACUCAACUAUAAAAGGCAUUUGAACUGGUCGAACAGGACGACAGAGCAGAGAGCAUGAGAUCAUUUCAGCCGACUAGCAAACUGGCACCCAGCCUUUUCACCCCUUCGGUUCGGGAGGCAAACGUGUGCAGUCCUCAUUUCUCAAGUCAGCUCAGCCUGGAAGGAUUCCGGGUCUCUCCCACCUUCUCCCACCCUGCUGCCAGUUGAUGGCAAGGAUUGGUACAGCUUCUGCGUAGUGCUUUGUGCCUGGAAUACGGAGAUGGAAGAGAAUGAUGACAAGCCCUCUCUGGACCUCCUUUGCUGAGAAAUUAAGGAGCCCUGAAGAAACAGCAACAUAUAAAACAACAUAAAAAAACCCAGACUUCUCAGUACUUGCAAGAGUGCUGGAAAAUAAUGAUCAUGAUGAGAUGCGCCUGCUCGAAAACAAAAACAAACAAACAAACAAACAAACAAAAACGCAAACCAAAACAAACCAAAACCAGCAAACUUUGGCUUGUCUAACUCCUGAGACAUCGGGCUUUGUAAAGCAGCUUGGAAGGCAACACAGCCAAAUGAGCCUUCUUUACAUUUGUUUAUUUUUUUAUUAUUAUUAUUUCAAAAACUAUGGGCUAAGAGCAGUUUUUUGCACUUGGUGAACCUGCACUUUCAUAUCAGGGGAACCCUUAAAGUGGAUAUCAGAAGAGAAGAGAAUGGCCAUAGGAGAAAACCAUCUCAGGAACGUCCUUUCAAGAAGUAAAACUGCCUGUCAAGCUGUUUAUGACUUGGUUGAGGACUGCAAUUGCAAGCCAAUCAUGGAGUUGUCCAGAGACAGUGUAAACCUCUUCUCAUGCAACAAAAGAAAUGCCAGAGCAGAAGCUUCUCCCUGUCUUCCCUACUGAGAAAUACCAUCUAUAGCACAGAUGUGCCAGAGCACACCUAAAACAGAGUUUAAAGCUUCAGGAUUUCUUCAUAUGUUAAGGAGUUGACUCGUGUGUCAAACUUGCCAAGUACAUGAUUCCUGGAAGAAAGAAAAUAGGUGUGUCCUGUCCACAGAGAUCAGAAGAAGGCAUUAGAAAGAACUGGAGUUACAGAAAAGUGUGCUUUGCCAUGCAGAUGCUGGGAAUCAAACCCAGGUCUUCUGGAAAAGCAGCCAGUGUCCUCAGCCACUCCUCAGCUUAUAUGCAGCCUCAUGAAAAUACCCUAGCCGAUCGUGUCUAAUAGGGUUGGAUUCCGUGCGCUGAAUGUAGAGUUGUUUACGAGUGUUACAUCCACCUGUGCACCUGACAGACUUUCUCUCGGCGGAGUAACAAAUUGGAUUUUUCAAGAGCGAGAGAGAUACAAGCUCCUUCUAAUAAAGUAAAUAUGAUUCCACUUGUAUAUGGCUGAAUUUUUAAACUAAACUAAAAGUGAAUCUUUGGGUCAUGAGGUGCAAGAAUGGUUUUUCUACAACUUUGUUGAAGAAGAUGCUGGACCACCCUCCUUUAUCUUACUGAUAAGGACCAUGUCUGCAUACCUUCUGAUCCACCCUUGUCAAUGGAACCAAUUUUCAUUCUGUCUUUGUGCUCACAGAAACAACUGCUGUGAGAUUUAAGUCCAGUAGGCUGAUCUUACUGGACUUAAGUCAUAGAUUUGUCUAAAAACACCAGGAGGAAGAGAGUUGGGAUGCACACCAGUCUGUUCUGACACCCCCUUUCCUCCUGGCCUGAUGUCAUAAAGGUGACAGUGAGUGUUUCCCUCUGUGACUGAUUUGAUGAAUCAUCCACUACAGUCCUCACUCUAGUGGUCCAUCAUGACUCUAUUUUCCAUAUGUUCUUUUGGCCUUUUUUUUUUCCCCCUGUGGCAAUUGUGUGUUAUGCCAACUCAUAUUUGAGCUCUUAUUCUUCUUUGCUGUGUGUUAUUUCAUUUUUCUUGUUGUUCUAAUAGAACACACUGACUAAAGCAAUUUAAGAGAUAAAGGGUUUAAUUUGACUCAUAGUUCUAGGUUAUGGUCCAUUUGGGCCUAGAAGUCACCUCAGCAAUGGCUUGAGGCAGAUAGACACAGGGAAUUGUGAAGAAAGAAACAGUGAUGAAUGUCUGAACUCAAACAACUUUCUCCUUUGUUGCCACCCACAGUUAUGGUGAGUCUUUUUCUCACCUUAUCUUAAUCAAGAUCAUUCCUCACAGACAUGUCCAGAGUUUAAUCUCACCUAGUCACUCCCAGACACUGGUCUCCCAGGUGAUUCUAGGUUCUGUUGCUCAACAACCAGUAUUAGCCAUCCCAACUACCAAAGCCUUUUUAUGUGCAUCAUCUUAGAUAAACUUUAGAACAUUUUUAUGAUAACACAAAUACCUCCUCCUCUCCCCCACCUUCUUUUUCUCUCCUCUCUCCUCCUUUAAUUGGGUGUGGUUUUGCUCUAUUGCCCAAAGUUCACCGGGUCCAGACUUCUCUUGAACUCAUGAUCUUCCUCUCUUAGCUUCGUAAUGACUGGAAUUAUAUGCAAGGGCUACUAUGCCUGGCUUCAUCUUUUCUCCUAAUAGUCACUCUAGUAAAAUAACCCACUGGAUAAUCACAGAUUGAUUCUAAUUGACUUUCACUUCAAAGACCACUAUGACCAAGGUUCUCUAAUGGUCUCCUCCUUAACCUCCAUGGCAAGGACAGAAAGACUUAGAAGAGAUUACAGUGCUUAUCGUCUCAAUAAGCUGAAGAAGCUGCUAGACUGAAUAGAUGGGAUUUCAUGUUGAUGGAGACAUGGAGAGCAGAAUUGUGAUUCUCCUGACUGGAUAUUCUGAAGUCAAGGAGGAAGGAAAUAGGCAAGAUGCAAUGCAUUCAUUUUCUAUUUAAAAUAUCAAGGAAGACUGAUUCCAGAAUAUACAGUCAAAUGACAAACUAUAUAGGAUAUCUUUUUGUCCAGUGAAUAAGCAAGCCCUCCAAAAGAUUUUGAAUGUGUCAGGUGUAUAUAAGACCUGAAGGGCUUCUUACUGACCAAAUUUGGUCAUUUUGAGCUCAAAAUAUACAAUGAUAUUUAUGUACAAAUCAUUGAAAAAUGUGGACCUCUGAGUUUACAUGAAAUUAGACAGUGAGAAAAACAGAGAAUAAAAGAAAAUGUAAAACAAAUUAGUUCUUUCUUAUAGUAAAACAUAGACUAAUUCACAGAAUAAAGGUAAUAACAUAUCAUAAAUAAUCAAGGGAUUAUUCACUCCCAUGGAUAAAAAUUUGACGAGUAACAGAACAUUUAAGAAUCUUAAAGGCUUACUCCUUCCCAAACUGAUUCUUAUAAGAGAAAACUAACAACUUCACCAUGGAAAAACCUUUCAGAUAUCCCUCAAGCCUGGGAGAAUAUGUUACCUCAAGACAUGCCAGUUUGUGUUGGCACAGAAGAGAUGGGCCUCCUCUUCACUUGGGCAGCAUGGGAGAGCUGGCUCUGGAGGUAUGGAUGAGGGAGAAUUGGCCCCACCCCAUGCUAGGGUGGUGAGGGAGAGCUGGCCCCUGCUAGCUGUAGCACUCCGGAGAGCGUGUGCUGCAUCUCACCUGGGGAAAGCAGCAGAGCUGACCCUGGUGGUAUGGGUGUGAAAGAGGCGGCACAGGGCAGGUGUGGGAGAGUGUGUGAGAACAGGAGAAUUGGCCCUGGCCCUUUUUGGCUUUGGCACUCAGGUAAGGUGGCCCUGCCGGGGCAGCGCUGGAGAGCUGGCCCUGGUGGUAUAGGUACGAGAAAGCUGGCCCCAAUGGCAUGAGCAUGGGAGAGCCAGUCCUGCCGCCUUACCAACUACCACAGGCAGGAGAGCUGGUCCCACUCCUCACCUGGGCAAAGCAGAGUCGCUGCCCUGCUGGCACAAGCAUAGGAGGGUGAGCAAGCUGACCAACUCAGCUACCACCCAGAUCCAGAUUCAGUACUUUAAGUUGGCCCACCCCAACGUCUACCUCGUCUAAGAACUUCUGGAGCAUGUGAAGACCCAGAGCUGCAGGAUCUCCAUGACACAGCAACAACAGGCUAUCCAAGAGACGUCUCAGUGAGGAUCCAGUACUGAUAGUAUAGCAGAAGCCAGAGGCCUCAAACCAGACCAAUGACUCAUUACAAGGAACAUUUGCAAACAAAACUGUUUUCCCAAAAGGGUAGACUGGGUAACACACCAUGACACACCACAGCUUUCACAGUGAGAUAACUUUUUGUUUCUUUGUUUGGGUUUUUUGUUAUUUGUUUUUAAUUUUCAUUUUUAUUUAUUUUUUAUCAUUUUUACUUUUUGUUUUAUUUUGGGGGGAUGUUGCAAGGGCAGAGGGAGGAUAUGGAAGGAUAGGGAGGUGAAUGAAUUGGAGUGCAUGAUAUGAAAUUCACAAAGAAUCAAUAAAAAAAAUUUUAAAAAACGAAAUUAAAGAAAAGACAUGCCGUUUUGAUGCAAGGAUGAUUUUGCAUUGAAGAAACUUUUAAAAAGAGAGGAUUUUGACAUUGGUUUCCAGCCAGAUCUACACCAAAUAAAUAGUGGUCAAGGGAUUUCCCCAACUUGAUUAGCGUGGACUUUCUCGCUUUUCCUCGAUAUGCUUACGUAUUUCAUCUAAAGUUAUGCUUCCUAACCCAGGUUCAGUUUCAUUCUGUAUGGCCAACCUCUGCAAGUAGAAAAGCCAGAACUAGAUUUCAGACUUUUCCAACUGUCAGCUUUGUACCCAAACAAACUAGUCAUUGCUGUCCCUCAGAAGGAAAGCUGCCUCUCACAUAUAAAAGAAUCUUCGUCUUGGACGGUUCUGUAUCUUCAAAGGUUGUUUUGAAAUGUUGAUGUACCAUAUAAGUAAAAAAAAAGUCUCCAAGCAGAUUAAAUGCAUAUAUAAAUACAUAAUAUAGCCCACUGACUCCAGUUGGCAGAGUUAUAUCUUUAGGAUAAGAGGCAAAACACUCCCCAAGGAAGUUGGAGACUCCUUUUUCCUGCUGCCAAGUCCUCCCCACCGACUCACACACGCUGACUAAUGCAUAUGCUUAUAUUGUAAGGUUCCAGGCACUGGUCUUCACUGUGGCCCGGGGUAAGGAGACGUCCUAGUGCAGCCUCUGAGUUCCAUCUCUUGUCCUCUGCUACAUUUCUAAGGUCUUUCUUGUUUGCACGUGCAUGGCCAUGAGCAGCAUAGGUGUCCUGAAGCCCUCGAUUCACAUUCAAUAACAUUAAAUAUGAAAUUCAUUUUGUAAUUUUUAAAUGUUGCAACAUACACAUACAGUAUUCUUUUAGAAAAAAUAAGAAGUACAGCUAUAAAGCACUCAUUUAGUCUGUUGUUUUAAUUUUCUUACUCAAGCAAAAUAUUAUCACAGAUCUCUUUUUAUUUGACAGUCAGCAGAAAUAAUGUUGACUUUGCCCCCCUCUUAUGAAUGAACCAUUAGAACUCUGAAAUUUCCUUCCAUUCCUUCUUAAGGACCUCCAACUCCUGUCACGUCACUUUGUACCUUCUGUUGUAGCAGCUUUCACUAUCAUUGACAUCCCCUAUUGCAAAAUCUUCCAUUAAAGAAACAAGUACAAGAUAUUUAUUUAUUACAUUGAUUAUGAACAGCUGGGUUGUUUCUUGUUUAAAAUAUUAAAGCAAAGUUAUUGGGGAAAUGAGCUUUUCUGUGCGUGAUUUCUGUUGCCGAAAAACCUUAAUCUCUAUUAUUUAUGUAUAUAUGAGUAGGCUGAUCAUGUACACAUUUAGCUAUUGUUAAUACUGCUAAUUAUUUUUCUAGCAGUGGUUAUUGAAAUAAUUUGACUGUUGAAUCAACUUAUCAUUGCAUUAGUUAUAUAAUUUUUGAGCUAUCUAUUUGAUUCGUGCCUUUACUAACACUUAGUAUUUUCAGCCUUUUGAAAUUGAGGUUAGACCACGGUGGUGGUGCAUGCCUUUAAUCCCAGCACUCGGGAGGCAGAGCCAGGCCAAUCUCUGUGAGUUCAAGGCCAGCCUGGUCUACAGAGCAAGAUCCAGGACAGGCACCAAAACUACACGGAGAAAGCCUGUCUCGGAAAAAAAAAAAUUGAGGUUAGGGGCAACAAGAUGACUGAGCCCCGGCUGCCCAUGCCUUAAUGGUCUGAGUUAGGCUCUCCUAUCCCACUUCAAGGCAGAUGAAGAGAACCAAUUUCAUAAAACUUUCUGACUUCCACACAAGGACUGUAGUAUAAGUACCCACACAAAUAAUGUAUGCAUACACUAAAUAAAAAAUUAAAGUAUUAAAAAAUAAAAUUGAUGUUUAUUCUUUUGGGGGCACAAUGUUGUAUUGUAUGGCUUAAGUUGUAGCAUAAAUCUUAAAUGGUUUUAUUAAUAAAAACAAACCUGGGGCCAGUUAUUGGGGUGAAUGCUGGAAGAUCAGAGAAGCAGAACAAGCCACAGCUACCUCACCUUGCCAAUUCCUCAGCUGAUCCUGUUUCCUCAGACUGGAUGCCUCUGAGUCCUUAUCCAGAAUGAAUCUCAGCUGAACUGCUUCUCGAAAGCCUGAAAGCUUAACCAGACCAAAAACUUCUAGUUUCUGGUCUUCACGUCUUAUAUACCUUUCGGUUUUCUGCCAUCACUUCCUGGGAUUAAAGGUGUGAGUUACCAUGCCUGGCUGUUUCCAGUAUGGCUUUAAACUCACAGAGAUCCAGAUGGAUCUCUGCCUUUGGAAUGGUAGGAUUAAAGAAAGGAGUGUGCUACCAUUUUCUGGCCUCUAUAUCUAGUGGCUGUUCUGUUCUCUGACCCCAGAUAAGUUUAUUAGGGUACACAAUAUUUUGGGGAACACAGUAUCACCACAUUAAGUUUAUACUGAAUUGAGGAAAAAUGAAUCUGACCAA